rnacentral:snRNA from 1 species
ACCAUCCUUUUUUGGUGUUGCCUUACUGAGCGUUUAGUGAAGUAAGUGCUGCUGAGAUCUACAUUAUACACCCUCAUCGGGUAGAGCUUUGCCUUACCUUGGCUCAAGUUUUAGAAAA